CUAGAUGGACUCAUUAUGAAUCAAGUUCCCUCAGAACAAAGAGGAAGUGCUCUGCUACACUGACAUUGUACAUCAUGGAGCCUGGAUAAAGUCAAGAGCUGAUGUAACCUUGACUUUUGACAUCCCAAGAGACUGCUGUCUAGAUAAUGCAAGGUGCCUUUUGGGGAUCUGACUCCCAGCUCGUGCGUCUCACAUCAAGAGGUCAACUGAAUACAGGAUCAUAGAAUAUCCUGAGUUGGAGGGGGCCCACAAGGAUCAUCAAAGUCCACUUCCUGACUCUACACCUCA